rnacentral:lncRNA from 1 species
AUGAUUGCUGAAUCUGCCUCCUGUGCUCCUGGUGCCAUCACCAACAGGGUCUAUAGUAGCCGUCUUCAUACUCCUACCUUAGUUUUCAACUUCAUCUUUUGUAGUACAGUAAACAGUAAAAGCUGCUCUGUUACUUCAAAGAUUUCUGAACGGCACAGGGGCACACGUGCUCCAAACUUAUAUAACACUAAGAAAAACGAGUAGCUGUUCAGGUUGGUGAGGGUGUGACAACGAUUUUAAAAUAAGCUUCUACAAUAUGUAUAUGUAUUUUAUAUACUGACAAAUCUUUUAAUCUGCAAGAAUCACAUCUAGUAAUGAAUCACAUUCUUGGAGUGAAUAAUUCAGCCCUUGACGCCAACCUCUGAGGGAGAAUAUUGUGGUCAUGGUGUCUGAACAGUGUGGUAGCUAUGGCUACCUAUAUAAUUCUUAGCAAUGGAAAAAAAGUGACAAUGACAUUAAAUUUAAUCAGGUUCCCCUUUUCUGCGGUUCCCACUGGGAUGAGCCACUAGUGUCUUGCCUUAAAUAUUCAAAGCCUUCAAAGUUUGCAUGUGUUCAUAUACUGGGACAAUAUCCUGCUAAUACAGAACAAUGGAUCUGUCAUGUAUUUCUCCUGUGAGUAGCCGUAAGUCUGAAUUUAGUUAGUAUAGGGUAUUAUGAUUGCUUCUUCUUUAGCAAUUGUCUUUACAUUAGUCUUCACUUAGAAGGAAGAAGAGCAGUAAUGAAAUGUAGGCAAAAAUACAAUGAACUUGGCUAUUUUGGUUUGGAAAUAUGGAGCAGAGGACUGUGUCUUCUUAAAAAGAUCCAGCUUUAUUUCCAGUCACACUUCAUCUGAUAUGAAUGAGCUGGUACUACAUAUCACAUGGCUGAAUACAUUUGGGAAACAAGACCAAACGUAUAUUUAGGAAAGAGAGCUUAAAAAAUCAAGCUGGAGUAGCUAAAUGCAUGAUUUGUAAGGCUACUUUCUGUAUUUUAUUUACAGAGCUGUGAAAAUGUGACUUUUAUUAAUA